rnacentral:rRNA from 1 species
UACGUAGGGUGCGAGCGUUAAUCGGAAUUACUGGGCGUAAAGCGUGCGUAGGCGGUUCCUCAAGUCCGUUGUGAAAGCCCCGGGCUCAACCUGGGAAUGGCAGUGGAAACUAGGGGACUGGAAUCUGGCAGAGGGGGGUGGAAUGCCGCGUGUAGCAGUGAAAUGCGUAGAGAUGCGGCGGAACACCGAUGGCGAAGGCAGCCCCCUGGGCUGAGAUUGACGCUCAGGCACGAAAGCGUGGGGAGCAAAAGGG